rnacentral:rRNA from 1 species
UUGCUUUCUUUGCUGGCGACCGGCGCACGGGUGAGUAACACGUAUCCAACCUGCCCUUUACUCGGGGAUAGCCUUUCGAAAGAAAGAUUAAUACCCGAUAGUAUAAUGAUUCCGCAUGGUUUGAUUAUUAAAGGAUUCCGGUAAAGGAUGGGGAUGCGUUCCAUUAGGUUGUUGGUGAGGUAACGGCCCACCAAGCCUUCGAUGGAUAGGGGUUCUGAGAGGAAGGUCCCCCACAUUGGAACUGAGACACGGUCCAA